GGCCUGAUGCCACGUCUCCGCUAGCUACGGGCAUUGAUCGGAGAUGCUAUGAUUAGGCCAAUACAGAGUUGUUUCAAUGUUUCACAUGUUGAUAGGAACCUGGGGACUGCUUGUCUGUUGUCUAUCUGUCCUCAGAGCCGGUUUCUGUGAUUACAUUA